rnacentral:rRNA from 1 species
GAGCGGACAGAUGGGAGCUUGCUCCCUGAUGUUAGCGGCGGACGGGUGAGUAACACGUGGGUAACCUGCCUGUAAGACUGGGAUAACUCCGGGAAACCGGGGCUAAUACCGGAUGCUUGUUUGAACCGCAUGGUUCAAACAUAAAAGGUGGCUUCGGCUACCACUUACAGAUGGACCCGCGGCGCAUUAGCUAGUUGGUGAGGUAAUGGCUCACCAAGGCAACGAUGCGUAGCCGACCUGAGAGGGUGAUCGGCCACACUGGGACUGAGACACGGCCCAGACUCCUACGGGAGGCAGCAGUAGGGAAUCUUCCGCAAUGGACGAAAGUCUGACGGAGCAACGCCGCGUGAGUGAUGAAGGUUUUCGGAUCGUAAAGCUCUGUUGUUAGGGAAGAACAAGUACCGUUCGAAUAGGGCGGUACCUUGACGGUACCUAACCAGAAAGCCACGGCUAACUACGUGCCAGCAGCCGCGGUAAUACGUAGGUGGCAAGCGUUGUCCGGAAUUAUUGGGCGUAAAGGGCUCGCAGGCGGUUCCUUAAGUCUGAUGUGAAAGCCCCCGGCUCAACCGGGGAGGGUCAUUGGAAACUGGGGAACUUGAGUGCAGAAGAGGAGAGUGGAAUUCCACGUGUAGCGGUGAAAUGCGUAGAGAUGUGGAGGAACACCAGUGGCGAAGGCGACUCUCUGGUCUGUAACUGACGCUGAGGAGCGAAAGCGUGGGGAGCGAACAGGAUUAGAUACCCUGGUAGUCCACGCCGUAAACGAUGAGUGCUAAGUGUUAGGGGUUUCCGC